UACGAAGGGGGCUAGCGUUGCUCGGAAUUACUGGGCGUAAAGCGCACGUAGGCGGCUUUCUAAGUCGGGGGUGAAAUCCUGGAGCUCAACUCCAGAACUGCCUUCGAUACUGGAGAGCUCGAGUCCGGGAGAGGUGAGUGGAACUGCGAGUGUAGAGGUGAAAUUCGUAGAUAUUCGCAAGAACACCAGUGGCGAAGGCGGCUCACUGGCCCGGUACUGACGCUGAGGGUGACGAAAGCGUGGGGAGCAAACAGGG
rnacentral:rRNA from 1 species